rnacentral:rRNA from 1 species
GACGAACGCUGGCGGCGUGCUUAACACAUGCAAGUCCAACGGAAAGGCCCUGCUUUUGUGGGGUGCUCGAGUGGCCAACGGGUGAGUAACACGGGAGUAACCUGCCCUUGACUUUGGGAUAACUUCACGAAACUGGGGCUAAUACCGGAUAGGAGCUCCUGCUGCAUGGUGGGGGUUGGAAAGUUUCGGCGGUUGGGGAUGGACUCGCGGCUUAUCAGCUUGUUGGUGGGGUAGUGGCUUACCAAUGCUUUGACGGGUAGCCGGCCUGAGAGGGUGACCGGCCACAUUGGGACUGACAUACCGCCCAGACUCCUACGGGAGGCAGCAGUGGGGAAUAUUGCACAAUGGGCGGAAGCCUGAUGCAGCAACGCCGCGUGCGGGAUGACGGCCUUCGGGUUGUAAACCGCUUUCGCCUGUGACGAAGCGUGAGUGACGGUCAUGGGUAAAGAAGCACCGGCUAACUACUUGCCAUCAUCCGCGGUGAUACGUACGGUGCGAACGUUGUCCUGAUUUUAUUGGGCGUAAACGGGCUCUUAGGUGGUUGAUCGCGUCGGAAGUGUAAUCUUGGGGCUUUUCCUGAGCGUGCUUUCGAUACGGGUUGACUUGAGGAAGGUAGGGGAGAAUGGAAUUCCUGGUGGAGCGGUGGAAUGCGCAGAUAUCAGGAGGAACACCAGUGGCGAAGGCGGUUCUCUGGGCCUUUCCUGACGCUGAGGAGCGAAAGCGUGGGGAGCGAACAGGCUUAGAUACCCCUGGUAGUCCACGCUGUAAACGGUGGGUACUAGGUGUGGGGUCCAUUCCACGGGUUCCGCGCCGUAGAUAACGCUUUAAGUACCCCGCCUGGGGAGUACCGCCGCAAGGCUAAAACUCAAAGGAAUUGACGGGGCCCCGCACAAGCGGCGGAGCAUGCGGAUUAAUUUGAUGCAACGCGUAGAACCUUACCUGGGUUUGACAUGGAUCGGGAGUGCUCAGAGAUGGGUGUGCCUCUUUUGGGGUCGGUUCACAGGUGGUGCAUGGCUGUCGUCAGCUCGUGUCGUGAGAUGUUGGGUUAAGUCCCGCAACGAGCGCAACCCUUGUUCACUGUUGCCAGCACGUUAUGGUGGGGACUCAGUGGAGACCGCCGGGGUCAACUCGGAGGAAGGUGGGGAUGACGUCAAGUCAUCAUGCCCCUUAUGUCCAGGGCUUCACGCAUGCUACAAUGGCUGGUACAGAGAGUGGCGAGCCUGUGAGGGUGAGCGAAUCUCGGAAAGCCGGUCUCAGUUCGGAUUGGGGUCUGCAACUCGACCUCAUGAAGUCGGAGUCGCUAGUAAUCGCAGAUCAGCAACGCUGCGGU